GUCAUGCAUUCCUCAGAGCACCAGGUCUGUCAGAGUUGGAUUCGAAGCUGGAGCUGAGUCCAAUCUAUAGUUGGUGCUACACUACUGCCUUAAAAUAUUGGUGUCUGAUAAAGGAUUUUGAGACUCGUCCGUCUGUGACCCGCAUUCUGGAACACCCAUUCAUUAAACAGGCCCAUGGCAAAGGCUCUCGGUCAACAGCUGUCCACACUCAUCUGCGAGCAGCAAGACCUGGGCUCCAAACUUAAGACCAAACAUAAAAUAAUCAACACUCCUAAACAGUCAUAAUAGAGAGCAGUCCUGAUGAUGAUCUGGUGAACCUGGAGGUUUUAGAUGAGGUAAGAUUGGCUACUGUAUGUUGACUUCAUUGUUGUUGGACUAGAGGACGGUAUAUGUACACUACCGUUCAAAAGUUUGGGGUCACUUAGAAAUGUCCUUGUUUUCCACGAAAACAUACAUGAAAUGAGUUG
rnacentral:lncRNA from 1 species